rnacentral:rRNA from 1 species
CUACGGGAGGCACCAGUGGGAAUAUUGCACAAUGGGCGCAAGCCUGAUGCAGCCAUGCCGCGUGUAUGAAGAAGGCCUUCGGGUUGUAAAGUACUUUCAGCGGGGAGGAAGGGAGUAAAGUUAAUACCUUUGCUCAUUGACGUUACCCGCAGAAGAAGCACCGGCUAACUCCGUGCCAGCAGCCGCGGUAAUACGGAGGGUGCAAGCGUUAAUCGGAAUUACUGGGCGUAAAGCGCACGCAGGCGGUUUGUUAAGUCAGAUGUGAAAUCCCCGGGCUCAACCUGGGAACUGCAUCUGAUACUGGAAAGCUUGAGUCUCGUAGAGGGGGGUAGAAUUCCAGGUGUAGCGGUGAAAUGCGUAGAGAUCUGGAGGAAUACCGGUGGCGAAGGCGGCCCCCUGGACGAAGACUGACGCUCAGGUGCGAAAGCGUGGGGAGCAAACAGGAUUAGAUACCCUAGUAGUC